AGCAGUAGCCGCGGUAAAACGUAGGUGGCAAGCGUUGUCCGGAAUUAUUGGGCGUAAAGGGCUCGCAGGCGGUUUCUUAAGUCUGAUGUGAAAGCCCACAGCUCAACCGGGGAGGGUCAUUGGAAACUGGGAAACUUGAGUGGAGAAGAGGAGAGUGGAAUUCCACGUGUAGCGGUGAAAUGCGUAGAGAUGUGGAGGAACACCAGUGGCGAAGGCGACUCUCUGGUCUGUAACUGACGCUGAGGAGCGAAAGCGUGGGGAGCGAACAGGAUUAGAUACACCUGUAGUCCCUGUCUCUUAUAC
rnacentral:rRNA from 1 species